rnacentral:rRNA from 1 species
UACGGAGGUGGCAAGCGUUGCUCGGAAUCACUGGGCGUAAAGGGCGCGUAGGCGGGGAGGUAAGUCGGGUGUGAAAUCCCUCGGCCCAACUGAGGAACUGCGCCCGAGACUGCUUCUCUUGAGUCCCGGAGAGGAAGGUGGAAUUCCCGGUGUAGCGGUGAAAUGUGUAGAGAUCGGGAGGAACACCGGUGGCGAAGGCGGCCUUCUGGACGGUGACUGACGAUGAGGCGCGAAAGCGUGGGGAGCAAACGGG